GUAGUACUCCCUCCGUCCCAAAAUUCUUGUCUUACAUUUGUUUAGAUACGGAUGUAUCUAACACUAAAAUAUAACUAGAUACAUCCGUAUUUAGAAAAAUUUAAGACAAGAAUUUUGGGAUGGAGGGAGUACAAA
rnacentral:pre_miRNA from 1 species